rnacentral:lncRNA from 1 species
CGCCGCCUCUCUGGUUUGUUCGGCCGGUGCAGGUCGCCUGCCUCUUUGUCAGCUGGAAUGGCGUGGGCGGACGCGCCACUACUUUGUAGCGGGUUUCGGGCGGGCCACGCGUGCGGCGACAGGAACCCAACCCCAGCCGACCUUGAGCUCAGGAGUUCGUCUCUUACGACUGCGGAAGUGCAGCUGCCUCAAUCCUUAGGACAGGUUGACAACUACAGGUACAAGCCAUUGAAGCUGGAAUGUCCUGUUGCUGGUAUUUCAGUUGACUUAAGCCAACUAUCCCUUCCAUUACAAUAGGAAAGUGCCUCUAAUAAGGCCAAAUAUGCGUACUAACUUGUAGCAACCACGUGUCCGUGCAGUGCCACAGGAGCUAGAGCAGUGGGACAUUGCUGGUGGCAACAGGGCAAUGUAGCAGGUGCUUCGUGUUCACCUUUUCAACAUUCUUCAUUUAAUUGUCACAACUCAGAGGUGGAUUCUGUUAGGGACAAGCUGCCCCAGGACCACCCCGCCCCCGCCAACUCAAUGCAGCUGACCCUUAACCUGAAUACUCUGCAGCUGCAUUCCUGAACCCUUAUCUAGGUGCCACAGCAAGGUCCCCAGACUUGCUACACCGAAGCCCUCCGGGUGGCACGGGGGAGGUCAUGAGAAACGUGGAUAAACCUAAGUUACACCCCCUUGUAAAUUCCUGUUUUCACAAGAUAAUAUAUUGUAAGCUGGCCACGAGAUGAAAUGUGGUAAAGUUAAUCAACUAACAACCCCCCGGGUCUCUCUCUCCCCCAUAUAAACCCCUCAUUUUGUAAACUCAGGGCUGCCACCUCUGACUGGUGGAGAAGCCCGGCAGGUUAAUAAACUUACUUGCCUUACCUUGGGUCUCUCGUCUUUUCUCUCUGCUAACCUUACAGAUUCUGUUCUCCCAUUUCAUACGUAAAGAAAUGGAUUAGGGGUAACUCAAGUUUCAUCACAUGUGAGUAUCUCUGAGAGGCUUCACGUGUAUAACUUUUCAGCAGUGUGACUUCUGGAAAGUCACCUGUCUCUUGAGAUUUGGUGUCCUGCUGUAACAGUUAAGAAUUAAACUAGGAAAGAAC